AGGCGAGACUGAAAUUUUAUUUUUAUUUUUAAAAAAAUACAUCUGUUAAAACCAUUUAGUUAGUUUGGCCUAAUGGAGUAUUUUUUGUGGCGGGGUGUCGUUGUCAGCCUGAAGACGAGCAGCAGCAGUUAAGUAACUGGAAAUGACUGAACCACAAAAGCGUCCAAAAGAAAAAGUGAAACCAAACUGGUUGAGUGAACGCUUUUGUCAUGUAAUUUUACAAACAUAAACGGCAGAAAUGAUGGAUUUUUAUGCAGCAGCGAUUCCUGCAGGAUGAACAACAAGAUGGAUGAAGGGUUUAUGGCAACUACCUCAUCUGGAGAGCCCAUGAAGAUUAUUCUUUCCCAUGUUCAAGAAGGGAGAAGGCACAGCAAAGCGCAUCAGAACUCCUGAAACCCUAAACUGCGCUGUGGAUUCAUCUCCAGUUGUCCCAGACAAGGCCAGCAUCUCCACACCACCUCCUGAUGCACGCRUCUUCACUACACGUCCUGAUGCCACAUCUUCACACCACCCUCUGCACCACAUCUAAACUCAGUCCACACCCAUUGGGAGGGCCCUUCACAACAGGAUCACACAUACUUCCAGACAUCUCACAGAAAGGACAUGCAGGACAAGAUGACUCAGUGUGAUGAGGUUGCAUAUUUGUGACCCAUCAUAUCAAAAUGAGGACUAAGUUGAAUUUGGUCAAAAUGACCUAAUUACAUUUUCAGAU